ACUAUUUUCUAUAUCGAAAAUCAUCUUACUCUUUUCUUGCCCUGGAAGUGUGAUUCCCCAUGGCCUACUCCAUUAUAAGGAAUCUACUCCAUUAAUUCUGUCUGAUUCUACCAAUUGUCUUCUCUUCAUGAAUGGCAAUGGUGUUUUACUUCAGUCUCUUAAUCUUGUGUCUGCGUCACAUCAGUGUUCUGUGCUUCCAGGACCUCAAAUAUUCAGAAUGAAGCAGAGAAACUUCCAUGGACUUCAAAACCAAACAAUUCUACUGCCUAUUCUAAGCAGUUGUCAUCUUUAGUCAUUUACUCACAUUGCUAAGCCUCAGUGACUUAGUCUUUUUCCGGAAACUUGAAACAAUAAUUCCUUGUUUAUGUUAAGGAUUAAGUGAGAGAGUACAAGCCAAAAAUCUCCCAUAAAUUUUGCUAGACAGUAGCCUCAAACAAGGAAAUUAUUGCUGGAGCCUAAAGGAAAUCUCCCUUUAUUUUGUUUAUAUGCCUGUCUUCAUACCCAUGCAUUCAGCUCCUUGGCUGACAGAUGUAGCCGUCAGUGUUUAUAGAAUACAUAAAUGAGCAAGUGGAUGAAUUACUGAUUGAAGAACACUGUGUUGAAAUUGUUUUAUUAAUAGAAAUUAUUGUAUUCAAGUAUGAACACACACAUAAAUUCAGUAGUGUUGACUUCUUUAUGGGGUUCUUAUAACAAACUCUCACAAACUUGGCGAUUUGGCCAAUAGAAACUUGUUGUCUUGUAAUUCUAGAGAGUAAAAGUCUCAAUCCAGUGUCAGCAAGAUGGCUCGGGCAACAAAGAAGCUGGUCACUAAGCCUGAUGACCUGAGUUCAGUUUUCCUCAUGUUGGAAGAACUACCUCCCACAAGUUGUUCUCUGACAUUUACAUGCAUGCCAUAGCACACAUGCAUGGAUACUCAACACACACACACACACACACACACACACACACACACACGCACACACGCAUGCACGCACGCAUGCGCGCGCGCUAUACACACAUGCAUACAUAUACAGAGAGAGGAAGAUAAAUAAAUGUGAACUUUUUAGAUAUAAAAAAGUGGUGUGAGUUGAAGUUGUUGUGGGAUGGGGGUGUGUGUGUAGUUGCAUCUGAAGGCUAUGAAUGUAAGCCUUCUUGAAAUUCUCAGCCUGGGGGGAGAGACCCACAUUGGGGGGGGGUCUCAUGUCACAUGUCCUGCAUAUCAGAUAAUUACAAUAUGACUUAUACCAGUAGCUGUUACAGUUUUGAAUAACAAUGAGAUACUUUAAUGGUUGGGGGACACCACAUCAUGAGGAGCUUUAUUAAAGGGUUGCAGCAUUAGGAGGGUUGAGGACCAGUGACCUAAGCUAAUUUCUCCAGGCUUCAUGCCAUGCUUGUGAACUUUAGAUGCCCUUGGCCUUCCCUGCACAUAUGUAGCAGAUGUACAGCUUGAUCUUCACGUGGGUCCUGAACAACUGGAGCAGAGGCUAUCCCCAAAAUUGUUUCUUGUACAUGAGAUAUGUUCUUUUAGCUUGGUUGCCUUAUCUGGCCUUAGUGGGAGAAGAUACACCUAGCCCCACUGAGACUUGAUGUUCUGUGGUGGGGUGAUACCCAGGGGGACUCUGCUACUCUCUCAGAGGAGAAGAUAAGUGGGGAGGAGGAAGGUUUGUGGGAGGGGGUGUCUGAGAGGAGGCAGUGAGCAAGAUGUAAAGCAGAUAACUGAAAAGUAAAAUAAAGAAAAAAAGAAAUGUAAAUUUAUAAAUU
rnacentral:lncRNA from 1 species